AGUGAACGCUGGCGGUAGGCCUAACACAUGCAAGUCGAACGGCAGCACAGGAGAGCUUGCUCUCUGGGUGGCGAGUGGCGGACGGGUGAGGAAUACAUCGGAAUCUGCCCAGUCGUGGGGGAUAACGUAGGGAAACUUACGCUAAUACCGCAUACGACCUUCGGGUGAAAGAGGGGGAUCGCAAGACCUCUCGCGAUUGGAUGAGCCGAUGUCGGAUUAGCUAGUUGGCGGGGUAAUGGCCCACCAAGGCGACGAUCCGUAGCUGGUCUGAGAGGAUGAUCAGCCACACUGGAACUGAGACACGGUCCAGACUCCUACGGGAGGCAGCAGUGGGGAAUAUUGGACAAUGGGCGCAAGCCUGAUCCAGCCAUACCGCGUGGGUGAAGAAGGCCUUCGGGUUGUAAAGCCCUUUUAUUGGGAAAGAAAUCUUUCAGGCUAAUACCCUGGGAGGAUGACGGUACCCAAAGAAUAAGCACCGGCUAACUUCGUG
rnacentral:rRNA from 1 species